rnacentral:rRNA from 1 species
CAAGUCUUGACAUCCCUCUGAAUCCUCUAGAGAUAGAGGCGGCCUUCGGGACAGAGGUGACAGGUGGUGCAUGGUUGUCGUCAGCUCGUGUCGUGAGAUGUUGGGUUAAGUCCCGCAACGAGCGCAACCCUUGAUUUUAGUUGCCAGCAGGUAAGGGUGGGCACUCUAGAAUGACUGCCGGUGACAAACCGGAGGAAGGCGGGGAUGACGUCAAAUCAUCAUGCCCCUUAUGACUUGGGCUACACACGUACUACAAUGGCUGGUACAACGGGAAGCGAAGCCGCGAGGUGGAGCCAAUCCUAUAAAAGCCAGUCUCAGUUCGGAUUGCAGGCUGCAACUCGCCUGCAUGAAGUCGGAAUUGCUAGUAAUCGCGGAUCAGCAUGCCGCGGUGAAUACGUUCCC